AGCAGCCGCGGUAAUUCCAGCUCCAAUAGCGUAUAUUAAAGUUGUUGCAGUUAAAAGCUCGUAGUUGAAUUUCGGGAUCAAUUUAUUGGUCGUGCUAUUGUACGUACUGGUAUUAUUGAUUCCUACCUUCUGACGAACCAUGAUGUCAUUAAUUUGGUGUCAUGGGGAAUCAGGACUGUUACUUUGAAAAAUUAGAGUGUUUAAAGCAGGCUCACGCUUGAAUACAUUAGCAUGGAAUAACGAAAUAGGACGUUUGAUUCUAUUUUGUUGGUUUCUAGGAUCGACGUAAUGAUUAAUAGGGAUAGUUGGGGGCAUUAGUAUUCAAUUGUCAGAGGUGAAAUUCUUGGAUUUAUUGAAGACUAACUACUGCGAAAGCAUUUGCCAAGGAUGUUUUCAUUAAUC
rnacentral:rRNA from 1 species